UACGUAGGGGGGCUAGCGUUGUCCGGAAUCAUUGGGCGUAAAGAGCGUGUAGGCGGCCCGGUAAGUCCGCUGUGAAAGUCGGGGGCUCAACCCUCGGAUGCCGGUGGAUACUGUCGGGCUCGAGUACGGAAGAGGCGAGUGGAAUUCCUGGUGUAGCGGUGGAAUGCGCAGAUAUCAGGAGGAACACCGGUGGCGAAGGCGGCAUCCUGGACCGGCAUUGACGCUGAGGAGCGAAAGCCAGGGGAGCAAACGGG
rnacentral:rRNA from 1 species